rnacentral:rRNA from 1 species
AACGUAGGAGACAAACGUUAUCCGGAGUUACUGGGCGUAAAGGGCGUGUAGGCGGUUCGUUAAGUCUGGCGUGAAAGCUCUCGGCUAAACCGGGAGAGGUCGUUGGAUACUGGCGAGCUAGAGGAUGGUAGAGGCGUGUGGAAUUCCGGGUGUAGUGGUGAAAUGCGUAGAGAUCCGGAGGAACACCAGUGGCGAAGGCGACACGCUGGGCCAUACCUGACGCUAAAGCGCGACAGCAUGGGGAGCAAACGGG